GGCGAACGGGUGAGUAACACGUGGGCAAUCUGCCCUGCACUCUGGGACAAGCCCUGGAAACGGGGUCUAAUACCGGAUACUGAUCCUCGCAGGCAUCUGCGAGGUUCGAAAGCUCCGGCGGUGCAGGAUGAGCCCGCGGCCUAUCAGCUAGUUGGUGAGGUAACGGCUCACCAAGGCGACGACGGGUAGCCGGCCUGAGAGGGCGACCGGCCACACUGGGACUGAGACACGGCCCAGACUCCUACGGGAGGCAGCAGUGGGGAAUAUUGCACAAUGGGCGAAAGCCUGAUGCAGCGACGCCGCGUGAGGGAUGACGGCCUUCGGGUUGUAAACCUCUUUCAGCAGGGAAGAAGCGAAAGUGACGGUACCUGCAGAAGAAGCGCCGGCUAACUACGUGCCAGCAGCCGCGGUAAUACGUAGGGCGCAAGCGUUGUCCGGAAUUAUUGGGCGUAAAGAGCUCGUAGGCGGCUUGUCACGUCGGUUGUGAAAGCCCGGGGCUUAACCCCGGGUCUGCAGUCGAUACGGGCAGGCUAGAGUUCGGUAGGGGAGAUCGGAAUUCCUGGUGUAGCGGUGAAAUGCGCAGAUAUCAGGAGGAACACCGGUGGCGAAGGCGGAUCUCUGGGCCGAUACUGACGCUGAGGAGCGAAAGCGUGGGGAGCGAACAGGAUUAGAUACCCUGGUAGUCCACGCCGUAAACGGUGGGCACUAGGUGUGGGCAACAUUCCACGUUGUCCGUGCCGCAGCUAACGCAUUAAGUGCCCCGCCUGGGGAGUACCGCCGCAAGGCUAAAACUCAAACGAAUUGACGGGGGCCCGCACAAGCGGCGGAGCAUGUGGCUUAAUUCGACGCAACGCGAAGAACCUUACCAAGGCUUGACAUACACCGGAGAACCCUGGAGACAGGGUCCCCCUUGUGGUCGGUGU
rnacentral:rRNA from 1 species